ACAAAGGCGUCUUUAGACGCUACAUUUUUUUGACAAAAAUGCAAGU
rfam:Ixodes scapularis strain Wikel colony gcontig_1107728927530, whole genome shotgun sequence.